rnacentral:rRNA from 1 species
UACGUAGGGUGCGAGCGUUAAUCGGAAUUACUGGGCGUAAAGCGUGCGCAGGCGGUUUUGUAAGCCCGAUGUGAAAUCCCCGGGCUUAACCUGGGAAUGGCAUUUGGGACUGCAAGGCUGGAGUGCGGCAGAGGAGACUGGAAUUCCUGGUGUAGCAGUGAAAUGCGUAGAGAUCGUGAGGAAGACCAGUGGCGAAGGCGGGUCUCUGGACAGUUCCUGACACUGAGGCACGAAGGCCAGGGGAGCAAACGGG